rnacentral:rRNA from 1 species
GACGUAGGGCGCGAGCGUUGUCCGGAUUCAUUGGGCGUAAAGGGUGCGUAGGUGGCGCGCUAAGUCGGGUGUGAAAUUUCGGAGCUUAACUCCGAAACUGCAUUCGAUACUGGCGUGCUCGAGGACUGGAGAGGAGACUGGAAUUCAUGGUGUAGCAGUGAAAUGCGUAGAGAUCAUGAGGAAGACCAGUGGCGAAGGCGGGUCUCUGGACAGUUCCUGACACUGAGGCACGAAGGCCAGGGGAGCAAACGGG